rnacentral:rRNA from 1 species
GUGGGGAAUAUUGGACAAUGGGCGAAAGCCUGAUCCAGCCAUGCCGCGUGUGUGAAGAAGGUCUUCGGAUUGUAAAGCACUUUAAGUUGGGAGGAAGGGCAGUAAGUUAAUACCUUGCUGUUUUGACGUUACCGACAGAAUAAGCACCGGCUAACUUCGUGCCAGCAGCCGCGGUAAUACGAAGGGUGCAAGCGUUAAUCGGAAUUACUGGGCGUAAAGCGCGCGUAGGUGGUUUUGUAAGUUGGAGGUGAAAUCCCCGGGCUCAACCUGGGAACUGCCUCCAAAACUGCAUGACUAGAGUACGUUAGAGGGUAGUGGAAUUUCCUGUGUAGCGGUGAAAUGCGUAGAUAUAGGAAGGAACACCAGUGGCGAAGGCGACUACCUGGACUGAUACUGACACUGAGGUGCGAAAGCGUGGGGAGCAAACAGGAUUAGAAACCCCUGUAGUCC